rnacentral:rRNA from 1 species
UAGGGAAUCUUCCACAAUGGACGCAAGUCUGAUGGAGCAACGCCGCGUGAGUGAAGAAGGUUUUCGGAUCGUAAAGCUCUGUUGUUGGUGAAGAAGGAUAGAGGCAGUAACUGGUCUUUAUUUGACGGUAAUCAACCAGAAAGUCACGGCUAACUACGUGCCAGCAGCCGCGGUAAUACGUAGGUGGCAAGCGUUGUCCGGAUUUAUUGGGCGUAAAGCUAGCGCAGGCGGAAUGAUAAGUCUGAUGUGAAAGCCCACGGCUCAACCGUGGAACUGCAUCGGAAACUGUCAUUCUUGAGUGCAGAAGAGGAGAGUGGAAUUCCAUGUGUAGCGGUAGAAUGCGUAGAUAUAUGGAAGAACACCAGUGGCGAAGGAGGCUCUCUGGUCUGCAACUGACGCUGAGGCUCGAAAGCAUGAGUAGCGAACAGG